rnacentral:piRNA from 1 species
UGAAAUAAGGAAGCUUGCAGGAUUGUGU